GAUGAAGAACGUAGUGAAAUGCGAUAAGUAGUGUGAAUUGCAGAAUUCAGUGAAUCAUCGAAUCUUUGAACGCACAUUGCGCCCCAUGGUAUUCCGUGGGGCAUGCCUGUUCGAGCGUCAUUUCAACCCUCAAGCCCCCGGGUUUGGUGUUGGGGAUCGGCUCUGCCUUCUGGCGGUGCCGCCCCCGAAAUACAUUGGCGGUCUCGCUGCAGCCUCCAUUGCGUAGUAGCUAACACCUCGCAACUGGAACGCGGCGCGGCCAUGCCGUAAAACCCCAACUUCUGAAUGUUGACCUCGGAUCAGGUAGGAAUACCCGCUGAACUUAAGCAUAUCAAUAAGCGGAGGA
rnacentral:misc_RNA from 1 species